rnacentral:rRNA from 1 species
CACGGGGGGAGCAAGCGUUGUUCGGAAUCACUGGGCGUAAAGGGCGUGUAGGCGGUCAGGUAAGUGGGAUGUGAAAGCCCCCGGCUCAACCGGGGAAUUGCAUCCGAUACAGCCCGGCUUGAGGACGGUUGGGGUGAGUGGAACUCCUGGUGGAGCGGUGAAAUGCGUAGAUAUCAGGAGGAACACCGGUGGCGAAAGCGGCUCACUGGACCGUGACUGACGCUGAGGUGCGAAAGCUAGGGGAGCAAACGGG